GCCCGGAUGGUCUAGUGGUAUGAUUCUCGCUUUGGGCUCUAUAGUACCAAUCUGCGAGAGGCCCCGCGUUCGAACCGCGGUUCGGGCC